UGGGGAAUUUUGGACAAUGGGCGAAGCCUGAUCCAAGCAAUGCCGCGUGUGUGAAGAAGGCCUUCGGGUUGUAAAGCACUUUUGUCCGGAAAGAAAUCCUUGGCUCUAAUACAGUCGGGGGAUGACGGUACCGGAAGAAUAAGCACCGGCUAACUACGUGCCAGCAGCCGCGGUAAUACGUAGGGUGCAAGCGUUAAUCGGAAUUACUGGGCGUAAAGCGUGCGCAGGCGGUUUGCUAAGACCGAUGUGAAAUCCCCGGGCUCAACCUGGGAACUGCAUUGGUGACUGGCAGGCUAGAGUAUGGCAGAGGGGGGUUAGAAUUCCACGUGUAGCAGUGAAAUGCGUAGAGAUGUGGAGGAAUACCGAUGGCGAAGGCAGCCCCCUGGGCCAAUACUGAGCGCUCAUGCACGAAAGCGUGGGGAGCAAACAGGAUUAGAUACCCUGGUAGUCCACGCCCUAAACGAUGUCAACUAGUUGUUGGGG
rnacentral:rRNA from 1 species